rnacentral:rRNA from 1 species
GACGAACGCUGGCGGCGUGCUUAACACAUGCAAGUCGAACGGAAAGGCCCUGCUUGCAGGGUACUCGAGUUGCGAACGGGUGAGUAACACGUGGGUGAUCUGCCCUGCACUUCGGGAUAAGCCUGGUCAACUGGGUCUAAUACCGGACAGGAGCCAUUUUUAGUGUGAUGGUUGGAAAGUGUUGUCGGUUUAGGAUGAGCUCGCGGCCUAGCGGCUUGUUGGUGGGGUAAUGGACUACCAAGGCGGCGACGGGUAGCCGGACUGAGAGGGUGGACGGCCACACUGGGACUGAGAGGAGGCCCAGACACCUACGGGAGGCAGCAGUGGGGAAUAUUGAACAAUGGGCGCCAGCCUGAUGCAGAGACGCCGCGUGGGGGAUGACGGCCUUAGGGUUGUAAACUCCUUUCGCAAGGGACGAAGCUUUUUGUGACGGUACCUAGAUAAGAAGCCCCGGCUAACUACGUG